rnacentral:rRNA from 1 species
UGAAGAAGGUUUUCGGAUCGUAAAACUCUGUUUUCAGGGACGAAUGUGCAAUAUGUGAAUAAUGUGUUGUAAUGACGGUACCUGACAAGAAAGCCACGGCUAACUACGUGCCAGCAGCCGCGGUAAUACGUAGGUGGCAAGCGUUGUCCGGAAUUAUUGGGCGUAAAGCGCGCGCAGGUGGGAUAAUAAGUCUGAUGUUAAAGUUCGGGGCUCAACCCCGUGAAGCAUUUGGAUACUGUUAUUCUUGAGUGCAGGAGAGGAAAGUGGAAUUCCUAGUGUAGCGGUGAAAUGCGUAGAUAUUAGGAGGAACUCCAGUGGCGAAGGC